GACGAACGCUGGCGGCGUGCUUAACACAUGCCAGUCGAACGGAAAGGCACUGCUUUUGUGGGGUGCUCGAGUGGCGAACGGGUGAGUAACACGUGAGUAACCUGCCCUUGACUUUGGGAUAACUUCAGGAAACUGGGGCUAAUACCGGAUAGGAGCUCCUGCUGCAUGGUGGGGGUUGGAAAGUUUCGGCGGUUGGGGAUGGACUCGCGGCUUAUCAGCUUGUUGGUGGGGUAGUGGCUUACCAAGGCUUUGACGGGUAGCCGGCCUGAGAGGGUGACCGGCCACAUUGGGACUGAGGUAGGGCCCAGUCUCCAACGGGAGGCAGCGGUGGGGAGUAUUGCACAAUGGGCGGGAGCCUGAUGCAGCAACGCCGCGUGCGGGAUGACGGCCUUCGGGUUGUAAACCGCUUUCGCCUGUGACGAAGCGUGAGUGACGGUAAUGGGUAAAGAAGCACCGGCUAACUACGUG
rnacentral:rRNA from 1 species